ensembl:lncRNA
GCCAGAAGCGCAGAUGCACAGAAUGACAGAUAUAUCCUCGAGGUUACCACUGGAUGGCGCUACAAAGAGGCCCAACAACUAUCCUCAAAAGGUUUAAUGCAGGCUAAACUUUUUCUGCCAAAAUUGGGAGAGUGCAAAGCAACAAGCAGGGGAGCAUAGCAGCUAAGAAAGGGGGCGUUUGUUUGGGACGAGCCCACGGAGGCAGAGGAAAUUAGAAAGGCGGCCAGUUGGAACAAGGUUCACAAAGGCCUUGGAAAGUGGAAGGAAUACUUUGAGGACUUUCUCAAUCCCACCGACACAUUCUCCAGUGAGGCGGCAGAGUCUGGGGACAUGGGAAUAGGCUUGUUCAUUACUGAGGCCGAAGUCGCUAAGGUAGUUAAGAAGCUCCUUGUUGGCAAGGCUCCAGGGGUGGAUGAGAUCCGCCCUGAGUUCCUCUAGGCUCUGGAUGUUGUGAGGCUGUCUUGGCUGACACGCCUUUUCAACAUUGUGUGGACAUCAGGGGCGGUGCCACUGGAUUGGCAGACUGGGGUGGUGGUGCCUCUUUUUAAAAAAGGGGAGGGUGUGUUCCAACUACAGGGGAAUCACACUCCUCAGCCUCCCUGGUAAGGUCUAUGCAGGGGUACUGGAGAAGAGAGUCCGGCUUAUAGUCGAACCUGGGAUCCAGGAGGAGCAGUGCG